UUGUGCAGUCCUUUAGAAAGAGGUCAAUACUCUGCUAAGACUGAAUUUAAACUUCAAGAAGGUAUUUCCCUUCAUUUUUCUCUUUCAAGAGGAAACCUUGUUGGAAACAUGGGACUGAUGAUGGGCUCUUGAGAGGAAAAGAACAGUCUACGAAGGGACUGAGUCAGUGACAUCAUUGUCUUAUUAUGGACACUGAUUCUGGGCUGAAGUUCGUCAUCCUGUCAACAGCAAGUGUGACCAUUUGCAGGGCAAGGACAUGUCAGGACACCUGGGACACAUUUGUAUAUACAGCCUUUUCCUGCUGUCUGUCUGCUGGCCGCUUAAACUUAAUCCCUCCCACGUGCCACUUAAAGUCCACAGUGACUUUAAGGCAUCUGCUGUAUUCUGUCUGCUGGACACCACCAACCAUGAACCGAGGGAUCAGCUGA
rnacentral:lncRNA from 1 species